rnacentral:lncRNA from 1 species
UCGAAGUAUUCCUUCUUCAUCGAUUCUUGCUUAUGGAAUAGCACCUUCUUGCACUUUCUUCUUCAUACGCAUUAGCUCUAUGUCCGUAGCUUGAGCAGCUUUAACUUUAUUGAUUAAAGUCGGUUCUACUCGUAUGUUUGAUAUCAUCACGUGGGUACUUCGAGCCUUCAACUCUAUCUCCAUCCUUUGCAAGUCAUACAAAAUGGGCCUUUGUGUUAACAACAUUGCACUCAUACCCGCAUAUGAUCUUCUACUAAAUGCGUCAGCUACUACGUUCGCUUUUCCAGGAUGAUAUUGGAUGGUAUAAUCGUAAUCUUUCAACAACUCGAGCCAACGUCAUUACCGCAUGUUGAGUUCCUUUUGGGUGAAGAAAUAUUUGAG